rnacentral:rRNA from 1 species
AAGUGCUUGGCCGAGAUCGUGAAUUUUUUAACAAAUGACCUCAAAUCAGGCAAGAAUACCCGCUGAACUUAAGCAUAUCAAUAAGCGGAGGAAAAGAAACUAACAAGGAUUCCCCUAGUAACGGCGAGUGAAGAGGGAAGAGCUCAAAUUUUAAAUCUGCCUUGUUUCAAGGUCGAGUUGUAAUUUGAAGAAGCGUUUUCUUGGGCUCGCGGCCGGUAGAAGUUCUUUGGAACAGGACAUCAUAGAGGGUGACAAUCCCGUCUGCGACCGGUCGUGCGUUCAUCUACGAUACGCUUUCAAAGAGUCGAGUUGUUUGGGAUUGCAGCUCCAAAUGGGUGGUAAACAUCACCUAAGGCUAAAUAUUGGCGAGAGACCGAUAGCGAACAAGUACCGUGAGGGAAAGAUGAAAAGAACUUUGAAAAGAGAGUUAAACAGUACGUGAAAUUGUUGAAAGGGAAACGAUUGAAGUCAGUCGUGCUGGCGCGAAAUCAACCCUCUCGUCGAGAGGACACAUGGCGUGGCGAGCCUCAAAACCGUCACGAAGCGUGAACUCUUGGCGAAAAGGAGCACUUUCGUGUCCGCUGGUUAACAUCAAUUUCGAACGUCAUAAAAAGGCUGGAGGGAUGUGGCUCCUUCGGGAGUGUUAUAACCUUUAGCGGAAUGUGGUGGUCGGGAUUGAGGAUUGCAACGAAUACCUUUAGGGCUGUUCCACCUGGCCUCUCUUUGGUAUCCUGGUGACGACAGCUUGCUGACGUUGUUAGGAUUCGCCAUUGAACAGGCUAGAGUGUGAGCAAAUUCGUUAAGGAUGUUAACGUAAUGGCUUUAAACGACC